UGACAGUGUAGCUUUAGGCAGAUCACUCCGAGCUUGGUUUUCAUAUCAUGAGAAAAAGGGAACUGGGAUUGUCUUUUCAGGGCAGAGUUUCUGUUUGUGCAUAUUUGCCAAAGUGGAGGUACAAAUUAUAGCACGGUGGAUGCUUGCGCCGGAAUGCCUGGGCUGGAAUUCUGGCUCUUCUGCUUAUCAACUGUGUAACUCCGGUCAAGUAGGAUUCACUGCUCCUGGUAAAGAUAUUUUCAAGGCAGUGAUCUCUCCAACCAGCAAAACCACUGAGCAUCAAGCUAAAAUCAGAAUUAUAAGAAGCAACAUUACAACUGAUGCCACAGAAAUGGAAAUUAUUAUAAGAGAAAAAAUUCAACAGUUGUAUCCCAACAGAUUGAAUAACCUAGAUGAAAUAAAUAAAUGCCUAGAAACAUACACCUUACCAAGACUGAAUCAUGGAGAAACAGAAACAUCUGAAGAGACCUAAAAGUAGUAAGGAGAUUGGAUGAGUGAUUAAAAAUCCUCCCAUUGCAACAACAAAGCCCAGAACCAGAUGACUUCAAUGGUGAAUUCUACCAAAUGUUUUAAAAAGAAUUAAUACCAAUCUUCUUCAUCUUCCAAAACAUUGAAGCAGAGGUAACAUUUUCAAACUCAUUCCAUGAGGCCAGAUUUAACCUGUUACCAAAGACGGAUCAAGACUAUGCAAGAAAACUAAAGACCAGUAAUCCCAAUGAAUAUUGAUGCAACAAUUCCCAACAAAAUACUAGCAAACCAAAUUUAAUAGCAUAUUAAAAUAAUUAUAAUCUAUGACCAAGUAGCAUUUUUUUCUGGAAUGUAAGAGUGAUUCAACAUACAAAAAUGAAUCAAUGUAACACCUCACAUUAAUGGAAGUUUUUCAAAAACAGAUUAUCAUCUCAAUUGUUACAAAAAAAUCAUUUGACAUAAUUCCACACCUUUGUAUGAUAAAAACACCCAACAAAUUAGGAAUAGAAGAAAACUACCUAAACAUAAUAAACGCCAUAUUUUUUAAAACCUGCA
rnacentral:lncRNA from 13 species